rnacentral:rRNA from 1 species
UACGUAGGGUGCAAGCGUUGUCCGGAAUUAUUGGGCGUAAAGAGCGUGUAGGCGGCCCCAUUAGUCCGCUGUGAAAGUCCAGGGCUCAACCCUGGAAUGCCGGUGGAUACUGUGGGGCUAGAGUCCGGAAGGGGCGAGUGGAAUUCCUGGUGUAGCGGUGAAAUGCGCAGAUAUCAGGAGGAACACCAGUGGCGAAGGCGGCUCACUGGACCGGUACUGACGCUGAUGCGCGAAAGCGUGGGGAGCAAACGGG